rnacentral:lncRNA from 1 species
AUGCAGAGACAGUCUACUAAGAAUGCUAAAGGGACUCCAGCAUCACCGCCCGCCCCCUUGCCGAUGAUGAGCAUACAUCCUACCACAAAGGGGAUGUGUAGGCUGGGGGGUGGGGGUGACACUCAUCAACAGUCUCACCAAGCUACAGAAAACGUGAAUACCACUCUACUGCUCCAACAAACAAGAUUUGAAAGACAUCUCUACAAGAACAUCUUGGAGUUCAUUUGUCACCUAUCCUUUUAAGAAUAGCAUAGAGAUACUGAAAACACCCAAGAUUUUAUCGUAUCCAUAGAAACCAAACACACUGAAAGCCAAUAGCAGGAAGUAACAGACAACCAUCAGAAGCUAUCCCUGUGAGUAGUCUGGAUAAGUAACUGUACUGCAACAAUUUCUCUUAGGACUCUGGUAAAUGGCACCUCAAUUUCCUAAGUAGACUGGCAGGGAUUUUUGCUCCCCUAUCUUCUUUCUCUUCUACUUCCCCACCCCCUCUCAGGAAGUGAACUGGGGGAAAUCCAAAGAGUGCAGCUUCACUUCUCCAUGUAACAUUUGCUGGAGUUGUUUUGGUGUCUACACAAGGAUUCCCUUCUGCACAUUGGUUAAUGGUUUAGUUCUUUAUACCCACUUCUUACUUUCUUCCUCUAUUUCAUAUCACAAGACCAUUAAGAAGUUAGACUUUAUGUAUAAUUCUAUCAAAAACUGUUUUUUCUUUCCGAAAGUUGAAAGACAUCUCUAACAGAACAUUUUGGAGUUUAUUUAUCUCCUAUUCUUUUCAGAAUAGCAUAGAGAUACUGAAGACACCCAAGAUUUUUUUUUUUGCUUUUGAAUUUUUAUUAGAUAAU